GGCUUGAUCACAGAAAUAUCUAAUGGCCUAAGACUCUCCAAACUCAAAAGCGGAACUCUGAAGAAUUUAUCGAACAAGAUUUGAAGGAUUAUGGCCUUUGCAUCGAUGGCCGCAGUGGCAGCAACAGCGACUGCAAGGCCAUCCUCAAUUACGCUAUUAACAAGAAGAAGACCCAGAUCGAUUUUUGUUCCGCUGGCUUUUUCUUCUUUUUCUUCUUCGCUGAAAACGAGGAAGUUGGUUCUGUACUCGAAGCCCGGAUGCUGUUUGUGUGAUGGUCUCAAAGAGAAGCUUCAGGCUGCCUUCUUGCUUUCUGGUCCACAUUCUCUUCACGACGUCGAUUUGCAGGUGAGGGAUAUUACAAGCAAUCCUGAGUGGGAAAGAGCUUAUCAGUACGAGAUACCUGUGUUGGCUAAAGUACUCUCUGAUGGCACUGAGGCUUGCUCUAUUUCCUCUUCCCAUCAAUAGGACAUGCACAUACAUAUACUCAUGUCUGUCUGAUCCUGAUUCAAGUGCCAUUUGACAAAACAAAGGCUGGGUUCUCGCAAGCCAAAUAAUUUGCACUUCAUUAUUGCAAUCAAAUCAAACCCAAUUGUUGGACACCUAACUAGAACAUAUACGUAGUAGGAAACGCUUCCUAGACUAUCACCUCGACUUGGAGUGGAGCUCAUCCAUAAAAAGAUAGUUGCUGCUUUGUCACAAUAAGGGUCUCUGUUGCUAUGAUCCUAGCAUAAGUUGUGCAACUUGUAAUUUGAAGAACUCCAUUGAAAAGGAUGCUACAUAUGAAUUACAGUUAAUCUCGAAGUGAAUUCUGGGAAUGAAAAUAUUUAUGAAUGAACUUAAAAAAACUAA